rnacentral:rRNA from 1 species
GCCUACGGGGUGCAGCAGUGGGGGAUAUUGCACAAUGGGGGAAACCCUGAUGCAGCGACGCCGCGUGAGUGAAGAAGUAUUUCGGCAUGUAAAGCUCUAUCAGCAGGGAAGAAAAUGACAGUACCUGACCAAGAAGCCCCGGCUAACUACGUGCCAGCAGCCGCGGUAAUACGUAGGGGGCCAGCGUUAUCCGGAUUUACUGGGUGUAAAGGGAGCGUAGACGGUUAUGUAAGUCUGGAGUGAAAGCCCGGGGCCCAACCCCGGGACUGCUUUGGAAACUG